UUCCCUCCUCCCCCAACCUCCCUGGGCUACCGUGGCAGUGUCCCCCCCAUUUGUGUGAUGAAGUAAUAAAGAAUGCAGGACUAAGAAACACUGACUUGUUAGUGAGAUAAAAUGAGAGGGAGGCAGCCUCCAGCUGCUAUUAUAGUCCAGGCAGGACAUUAAGCAGUGUGGAGGAGAGGAGCUCAGCAUACCGCUGCUAUGAUAGUCCAGGCAGUACAGAAUCUUUUCUUUACACUUGAAAGGGAGGGGGCUGAUGGAGCUCAGUCCCCAGUUGCUAUGAUGAGGACGGUUACCAGCCAUUCUGUACCAUCUACUGGGACUGACUGGGAAUCAUUCCUAUUUUUACCCAGGCUCCCCUGGCCGGCCUCACCUGAGGCCAGCCAGGAGCACUCGGGCUCAUGACGAGGACGGCUAUCAGUCCUUCUGCACUGUACCGUCUGCCACCAGGGAGGGGUGGAGAGAGGAUACUACUGUUUACUGCUUCAGCACCGUGUAUACCAGCAGCAUGCAGUAUACAUAGGGUGACAUAAAAAAGUCAAGAAACGAUUUUUCCCCUUUUCUAUCACGGAGGAGGAUGGGGGGUAAAUUGACGAGAUAGACCCUGAACCACCCCGGACAAUGUGUUUGACCCUACAGGCAUUGGGAGCUCAGCCAAGAAUGAAAAUGAUUUUUGGAGACCGUGGGGACUAGGGGAUAGCUGGAGUCCUUGGUACCCCCUCCCUCCCUCCAUGAGUGUCCAUUUGAUUCUUUGGCUUUCCGUUACGCAUGUCACACAGCAUUGUGCUGUGGACUCUGUAUCAUAGCCUGGAGAUUUUUUUGCUUUGGCAUUUCGUCUUCUGUAAUGGAGCUCUGAUAGAACAGAUUUGUCUCCCCAUACAGCGGUCAGAUCCAGUAUCUCCUGCACGGUCCAUGCUCGAGCUCUUUUUGGAUUUGGGACUGCAUCGCCGCCCGUGCUGAUCAGAGCUCCACGCUGGGCAAACAGGAAAUGCAAUUCAAAAGUUCGCGGGGCUUUUCCUGUCUACCUGGCCCUGCAUCUGAGUUCAGAUUGCUGUCCAGUGCGGUCACAGUGGAGCACUGUGGGAUACCGCCCGGAGGCCAAUACCAUUGAUUUGCGGCCACACUAACUCUAAUCCGAUAUGGUAAUACCGAUUUUAGCGCUACUCCUCUCGUUGGGGAGGAGUACAGAAACCGAUUUAAAGAGCCCUUUAUAUCGAUAUAAAGGGCCUCAUUGUGUGGACAGGUACAGCGUUAAAUCGGUUUAAUGCUGCUAAAAUCAGUUUAAACACGUAGUGUAGACCAGGCCCCAGCGUGAGACCCUGGGGUCUUAUUUGUGAGUGUUCAACAUUUGUGCACCUGCAGUUGCAAUCCAUGGGAGCUGUGCUUUGAACAUAAGAAGUGCAAUAUAAUGCUAAGUGCUGUGAAAAAUCACAUCCAAGGCAUCGCAAAUUGUACCCCCAACAUAAGAAUGUGUUAUAUUCUUUGUGGCUCAGUUCCCAUCCGUAAAAUUGGGAUGAUACUACCUCACUUCGCAGGGUAUUGUGAAAACCAUGUGUGUAAAGCACUUAAAUACUCUAAUUUCAAGCACCGUAAAAAUGUCCACGAGGAAAUAAAUAACUAAUAAAGAGAAGGGUUUGAAUAGUGUUCAGUGCAUGGGGCUUAGGGCCACAUAUUGAACAAUGAAGAGAAAAUAUGUUAAACAGCUGCUCAAGUGAGCACUGAUUAUCUUUUGCACUAAAUGAGGAAGAGGUCCUGUGGGAAAAAAAUUAUCCAAUUAUAUAAAGACUGUCAUAAUGCACAGGCACUGAAUUAAGGUUGAACAGAUUAUCAUAAUUCUGGCACUUCCUAAUCUUUGAAUGCUUGAUUUUUUAUUUAUUUUUUGUAUCAUUAAUGCUCUUUUAAUGUGUGUGUGAUUUUCUAGGUUUUUUUUUAAAAAGCAAACUGAAAAACAGUAAUUGCUUUGUAUGGGAUCAUAUUGACACCCAAGGGCUGGAGCCUUCAUAUCCUCAGCCCAGAGCUCUGCCACUUGAGUUAGCAGAGCACCCAAAAGCAGUAGUAGGUUGUCCUGCAUCUGGACCAGCCGCUAGAGGCAGAAGGGGAAUGAGGCAUACCCUUUGCUAGUGGGUUUCAGUUUUUUGCUGACAGCAAAGGAAUAUUGAUAUUCAGAAAUCACAGGUUCUAUCCUAGGCUUGAGGGGAGUGUGCUCUAGUGGUUUCAGAUCCUUCUGAGCCUGUCCUGUCAUACGUCCCCUGCCUCCUCAUUCAUUCUCAGUCUCCUGCCAGGCUCCUUGUCCCAGUCUGCUCCCUCUGCCUUGCCCCCCAUGUUGGCCCUUGUAUUCUCUGCAAUUGCCUCCGACUGUUUUCUCCUCCACAGUGCCUGGGCCCAGCAGAGGGAGCAAAGGAGAUACAGCUUCCCUGUUUUUAAUUCCACUGUCUGGCACCACAAUGGUCCCUGGGAGCAGGAUUUUCCAGGGAAUUGGAGCAAGCUCCAUACAAAAGGAAUCUUUGCAGAAGCUAACUGCCAAACCCUAAGAAGUUUUCACUGAGCAUUUGUAAACCAUGAUUUAUUUUUUUGUAGAUGAAUGAGUUGGCCAGAUUUGGGUGCUUUUUCAUGGGAGCAGCCAAAGGCAUUUCCCAGUUACAAAGUUCAAGUCCCUGCUCCGAAGCAUGAAGAAAUGACUGAACCAUUCGUGCUGAAGCUUUUGAAAAUAAUUCAGCCUAAGGCUGAUACCUGGCAUGGAAAACUUCAGGCCAAAUGGGUAAAGUUUGUCAAAGUUUAGAAGCCUCCGAGAACAGGAUUUUAUAACGCAAAAUGUUGGGCAAUGUAAACUAAAGGUGGUUCUACCAGCUCUGCAUAGAAUAAAAUGUUGAUAUUUUAUAAAAUUAACUAAAUACAAAAAAAAUCAUCCCCCCCCCUUUUUGUAUGGUAAUAAAAAACUCCAGACCUAUUCGUUCUUUGUUCAAUGCCUGGAGAGAGCCCUUAGAUGUAUACUUUCCUAUGGUUUCACAUUUUUAAUACAUUUAGAGCAGACCUCUUUAAGCCUUUUUUUAAAAAAGUGAAUACAUUUAUUUUCAAAUAAGCUGUGAAAUAAACCUCUUCAGAGAGAUUAUCUCUGCUGUGAGCAAUGA